rnacentral:rRNA from 1 species
GAUGAACGCUGGCGGCGUGCCUAAUACAUGCAAGUCGAGCGAACAGACGAGGAGCUUGCUCCUCUGACGUUAGCGGCGGACGGGUGAGUAACACGUGGAUAACCUACCUAUAAGACUGGGAUAACUUCGGGAAACCGGAGCUAAUACCGGAUAAUAUAUUGAACCGCAUGGUUCAAUAGUGAAAUACGGUUUUGCUGUCACUUAUAGAUGGAUCCGCGCCGCAUUAGCUAGUUGGUAAGGUAACGGCUUACCAAGGCAACGAUGCGUAGCCGACCUGAAAGGGUGAUCGGCCACACUGGAACUGAGACACGGUCCAGACUCCUACGGGAGGCAGCAGUAGGGAAUCUUCCGCAAUGGGCGAAAGCCUGACGGAGCAACGCCGCGUGAGUGAUGAAGGUCUUCGGAUCGUAAAACUCUGUUAUUAGGGAAGAACAAAUGUGUAAGUAACUAUGCACGUCUUGACGGUACCUAAUCAGAAAGCCACGGCUAACUACGUG